rnacentral:rRNA from 1 species
GACGAACGCUAGCGGCGUGCCUAACACAUGCAAGUCGAGCGAGUGAAUCUCCUUCGGGAGUGAAGCUAGCAGCGGACGGGUGAGUAACACGUGGGCAACCUGCCUCAUAGAGGGGAAUAGCCUUUCGAAAGGAAGAUUAAUACCGCAUAAGAUUGUAGCUUCGCAUGGAGUAGCAAUUAAAGGAGCAAUCCGCUAUGAGAUGGGCCCGCGGCGCAUUAGCUAGUUGGUGAGGUAACGGCUCACCAAGGCGACGCUGCGUAGCCGACCAGAGAGGGUGAUCGGCCACAUUGGGACUGAGACACGGCCCAGACUCCUACGGGAGGCAGCAGUGGGGAAUAUUGCACAAUGGGGGAAACCCUGAUGCAGCAACGCCGCGUGAGUGAUGACGGCCUUCGGGUUGUAAAGCUCUGUCUUCAGGGACGAUAAUGACGGUACCUGAGGAGGAAGCCACGGCUAACUACGCGCCAGCAGCCGCCGUAA